UACGUAGGGUGCGAGCGUUGUCCGGAAUUAUUGGGCGUAAAGAGCUCGUAGGCGGUUUGUCGCGUCUGCCGUGAAAGUCCGGGGCUCAACUCCGGAUCUGCGGUGGGUACGGGCAGACUAGAGUGAUGUAGGGGAGACUGGAAUUCCUGGUGUAGCGGUGAAAUGCGCAGAUAUCAGGAGGAACACCGGUGGCGAAGGCGGGACUCUGGGCCGAUACUGACGCUGAGGAGCGAAAGCGUGGGGAGCAAACAGG
rnacentral:rRNA from 1 species